UAGGCGGAAAGAACUUGCCUUGUCUUAGAUAACAUUUUGGACUAUGGACCUUUGAAUUAAUGCUGAAAUGAGUUAAGACUUGACAGGAUUGUUGGCUGGCUGAAUUUGCGGAGACCCGACUUUGCCCUUGCAUGUGUGAAAAAUGGCCUCAAGUAUGACACCAUGGCAAGAUGGAAAGAAACUGUGCUCUUGAAUAGCUUAGAGAUUCAGAGCCCCUCAUCAGCUUGAAAUGCCCACCUCAAAACAAUGACAUGAGAAGAAACAAACCUCUAAUUUAAGCCACUGUCUUUUUAAGAGCAUUGUAGUUUGAGAUAUCUUUCUUUCAGCUGUUUAGGCCCCAGCUAACCACUUAUUGAUCUUAUCUUACAGGUCAAGAAAAAUGCAGUUCUGGGGGACAAGUCACUAAUAUAAAUGUAUUAGAAAUUUUCCAGCUCUCCCUCCUUGCCCAGCAGAGUAUAUUUCCACUCAAACACAGUGAACCCGUCUGGAAUGGGACAAAACAAAAUGGGGUGGGCCUGGGACAAGAGAAUGUUCAGCUACACAGGAUCCAGGUCAAAACUCUUUAAUCCUCCCAUUUCUGGAUCUCAAAUGAGCACCUUUCAUCUAAGAGUUCUCCUCAAGAGGUUUGCUUUCCCACAGCAGCUUGUCAACAGUGUAAGAAGUUCCAAAAGAGCUUUUGGGGUUGUAGGUUAUGUGGCAUCACCCCAGCUUGUCUCAACACCUCUGAUGAACAGUAGCAGAAGAAAGGACUGUUUCCACAUGAGCUCCCCGGUGGUCCCCAUCUCUUAGGGAGUUUAUAAAAAAAUCCAUCAUCUUGUUCUACUAAACCCAAAUAAAUAUAAUUAACACCAAA